UCCGAGAUGGUUUGAAGAGACGCAUCCGGUUGAGCACGAGGGCGACGAGCUUGAGUUGGAGGAGGAGGAAGAUGUUGUUGAUCAUGGGCAUGGAAAGAAGUUUCUUGUAUUUCCCAAUGUUUGGUACGAUUUUUCUUGGUGCCAACAUUGGGCUUGAGUUGGAGGAUGAGGAAGAUGUUGUUGAUCAUGGCCAUGGAAAGAAGUUUCUUGUAUUUCCCAAUGUUUGGU
rnacentral:lncRNA from 1 species